AUUGAACGCUGGCGGCAUGCCUUACACAUGCAAGUCGAACGGUAACAGGUCUUCGGAUGCUGACGAGUGGCGAACGGGUGAGUACUACAUCGGAACGUGCCUAGUAGUGGGGGAUAACUACUCGAAAGAGUGGCUAAUACCGCAUGAGAGCUACGGAUGAAAGCAGGGGAUCGCAAGACCUCGUGCUACUAGAGCGGCCGAUGGCAGAUUAGGUAGUUGGUGGGAUAAAAGCUUACCAAGCCGACGAUCUGUAGCUGGUCUGAGAGGACGAUCAGCCACACUGGGACUGAGAAACGGCCCAGACUCCUACGGGAGGCAGCAGUGGGGAAUUUUGGACAAUGGGCGCAAGCCUGAUCCAGCAAUGCCGCGUGCAGGAUGAAGGCCUUCGGGUUGUAAACUGCUUUUGUACGGAACGAAAAGCCCCGGGUUAAUACCCUGGGGUCAUGACGGUACCGUAAGAAUAAGCACCGGCUAACUACGUGCCAGCCGCCGCAGUAA
rnacentral:rRNA from 1 species